rnacentral:rRNA from 1 species
GACGAACGCUGGCGGCGUGCCUAAUACAUGCAAGUAGAACGCUGAAGAGAGGAGCUUGCUCUUCUUGGAUGAGUUGCGAACGGGUGAGUAACGCGUAGGUAACCUGCCUUGUAGCGGGGGAUAACUAUUGGAAACGAUAGCUAAUACCGCAUAACAAUGGAUGACACAUGUCAUUUAUUUGAAAGGGGCAAUUGCUCCACUACAAGAUGGACCUGCGUUGUAUUAGCUAGUAGGUGAGGUAAUGGCUCACCUAGGCGACGAUACAUAGCCGACCUGAGAGGGUGAUCGGCCACACCGGGAAUGGGACACGGCCCAGGCUCCUACGGGGGGCAGCAGUAGGGAAUCUUCGGCAAUGGGGGCAACCCUGACCGAGCAACGCCGCGUGAGUGAAGAAGGUUUUCGGAUCGUAAAGCUCUGUUGUAAGUCAAGAACGGGUGUGAGAGUGGAAAGUUCACACUGUGACGGUAGCUUACCAGAAAGGGACGGCUAACUACGUG